rnacentral:rRNA from 1 species
GUAGGGUGCGAGCGUUGUCCGGAAUUAUUGGGCGUAAAGGGCUCGUAGGCGGUUUGUCGCGUCGGGAGUGAAAUCCAGGUGCUUAACACCUGGCUUGCUUUCGAUACGGGCAGACUAGAGGCAUGCAGGGGAGAACGGAAUUCCUGGUGUAGCGGUGAAAUGCGCAGAUAUCAGGAGGAACACCGGUGGCGAAGGCGGUUCUCUGGGCAUGUCCUGACGCUGAGGAGCGAAAGUGUGGGGAGCGAACAGGAUUAGAUACCCUGGUAGUCCACACCGUAAACGUUGGGCGCUAGGUGUGGGAUCCAUUCCACGGGUUCCGUGCCGCAGCUAACGCAUUAAGCGCCCCGCCUGGGGAGUACGGCCGCAAGGCUA